UACGUAGGGUGCGAGCGUUGUCCGGAAUUAUUGGGCGUAAAGAGCUCGUAGGCGGCCUGUUGCGUCGGUUGUGAAAGCCCGGGGCUUAACCCCGGGUCUGCAGUCGAUACGGGCAGGCUAGAGUUCGGUAGGGGAGAUCGGAAUUCCUGGUGUAGCGGUGAAAUGCGCAGAUAUCAGGAGGAACACCGGUGGCGAAGGCGGAUCUCUGGGCCGAUACUGACGCUGAGGAGCGAAAGCAUGGGGAGCGAACAGG
rnacentral:rRNA from 1 species